rnacentral:lncRNA from 1 species
AGUAGGUUUGUCAGAUUCCCUAGAGGUAAUUGGUACAGAAAAUAGUAUAGAAGACUUGUGGUUAUGAACCUGAAUGGUGACAUACAACAUACUAUUGAAUAUGACAAAGAAAAUCAGAGACUGUUAUCCUGUCCUUAUAAAAUCAAAACUUCAAAUGAUAAGAUAGUAGUUGUGGAUUUGUUAAACAAAGAAUUGGGCGGUCAAGUCAUAAUGUUGGAUUAUUAUGAAAAUCUCCAUUGGAUCUACAAUGGUUGUAAUAAUACCAGUUCUGAUCAAGAUGAGUUUAGUCCAAGAGAUUUGGCAAUAACUUCUUCCGAUAUGAUUUUAGUUUCUGAUUUUAUGAAUCAUGCUAUACAUGUAUUAAAUCAUGAUGGGGAGAUUAUUAUAUGCAAGGAUGUAAGAAGUUUAGGAAUAGAGUAUCCUGUAAGUCUUUGUAUUGACAAAAACGAAGGUUUAUGGAUUGGGGAAGUAACAAUAAAAGAACAUAAAAAGGCCGAGAUAAGCUGUAUUAGAUUAUCGUAAGAGUUUCUUACACAAUAGAUUUGACAUGUUAACUUAAGCUUCUUUUUCUUUUUUUAGUUCAUCACCCUAUCAUUGGCUUCAACAUACUGAUGAUAAUGUGCCGUGCCGCAUGCGUGGAAUCUAAUUUCU